AAAUCAAACCCUACCCUAUGAAGAAUUUGUGAAUUAUUUUCCCUCCAUUUCCCACCCCAUUCUCCAAAAAUUAUUUAAAAUUUUCUCCAUUUAGAAUGGGGCUCCAUAGAACCCCAAACCCGUGGAGGAUUUUGUCAUCCCUAGUGAAAAUCGAACUAAACCGACAAACUGAUCGGUUCUUCUACUUGAAACAAAAAAAAAUUAAAAAUAUAAAUAUAAAUAAAUGAAGAAUUUCUAAACCCUAAAAUCACAUACACACACAACCCCGUCCCCAUCUCUCUCACACCAGUCGACACACACCCUCACCAUCUCUCUCCUCAUCUCACAUCGACACAAACACUCCCCAUCCACCGUCGUCACUUAUCAGCCACCCGUUCGUUGUUUAUCUCACCAUGACGCUGCUGUCAUUGCCACUGUAGUCAGCCUGUCGUAGUUCGUCCUGUCGCGUUUGUGUCAGCCUCGCCUUGGUUCAUCAAGCUCGUGUCAGCCUCCCCUUUCGUUCGUCGCGAUCGUAUCGUUGGCAGCCUGCCAUUGCUAUCGCGUCGGUGUAGUUAUGUAACUUGUGUUGGCUUUUUUUUUAUUUAUUCAUUGAUUAUUCCUUAAAAAAAUUCCUUAAUUUGUGAGUUGGGAUUCUUAGAUUGGGAUUAAAUUUGUUGUUGUUUUAUAAAUAAGUUCUCUGAAUGAAUCAAGAAGCUAACGAGCAAUAUUUUCACCAGUAAAAUGGUAUCGUCAUCCAAACUAAACAAAGUCGAACCAUUUCGAACCGAACCAAACUUUAAAACUAAACCGAACCAAACUGAAAUUUCAGUUCGGUUUCAAAUUCAGUUUGUAUUCAGUUUCAAUUUUGAAAAAUCGAUCGAUUCCAAUUUGGUUCGGUUCUAAGCUUGAACUGAACCAAAUUGGAUAGUGCCCAGCCCUAGUUUAUAGAUGUGCUUGACUUCGAUAGACUCAACAGAGUUUUUAUCGAUAAAUGUUAUCCCUUAAAAAUUUUAAAAUAAUAUUCUUAUGCAUAGAAAAAUAUCAUUUAUUUAUUAACUAAUUUUGAGUUCUUAAUAAAUUCGAGGGAACAGGUUUGAUUCAUUUUAGGAGAAAGUUUGAGAUAGGACAGUUCUUAUUUGCCCCUCCAACAAAAUUUUAACUAAUGCUUGAAAUUUUGUCUCUUAUUUAUCCUAGCUAUUAGAGAUGUUCAAAAUACUAUUCAAUUUGUUCAAUCUGUAGAAAUACAAAUAGAUUGGAUUGGAUUGGAUUGAAAAUUCUAAAAUCUACAGUUGAUGGAUUAGAUAUGUAUUUACUUGUAGAAAUCCAUAAAUUUACAAAAGAAGAAGAAGAAGAACAACAACAAUAAUAAUAAUAAAUUUUAUUUAAUUUAAACAAAAAAAAUAA
rnacentral:lncRNA from 1 species